UUAAAAACAUCUCCCUUUUCCUCUCCCACUUCUUUCAGCUAGCUGCCUUCCUCGUCUCUUCUCGUCGUCUUCCGGGCCACAGCAUCGCCGAGCUCCUUCUCCUCAGUACGAAACCCUAGCUUUCCGAUCUUUUCGGCGUCCGGCGAUUCAAUCCGAUUCCCCCUGUCCCAUCCCGGCUUGGAUUCCUCCAACGCCGGAAUGGGAUCCGCCUUCUGAUCCGCAGUCUCCCCUCCUUCUCGCGUUCAAUCUCCGCCCCAGUGUAUCCCAUCCUUCGCUGGUUCUCCCAGAUUGCGAAUAUGGCGAUUCGUGUCACCAUCUUGUUCUCCGUCUUCCUCGCCCAAAUGCUAGCCACCGCCGCGGCGGGGGUCCGCUGCGGUGGAACUGCUCGGCUUUUCCACGACAGCGGGCGCCCCAUCGCUCUCUUCGCACGGCCUCUUUCUGGGCCUGCCCCCCCUCCGCGGAUUCUCGAACGCCGAUGCGUCGCUCGUCAGGAUUCGCCUCGGGAUUUCUUAUCCGAAGCAACUCAGGCUAAGGACUGGGGAACUUCUUUCGCUGCUGGCCUGUUCUCUGUGAUCAUGCCCGGAUCCUGGUCAGCGAGUGGUAGUGCGAUGAGCAUCUCUUCGAUGUCGGCGAGGGGAUUCAAGCCGUCGUCUUUGAUCCCUCUUUUCCAGACGUCCAGGUGGUUCCCGUGCAAUGAGUUCCUUGCCGGAUCGAGACGAUUCGACCCAGUGGAUGAGCGAGGGACUGAUUCUUCAGAUCCUCCUUGGAAAGAAAAGAAAAUAACUUCUUCUGGCAAACCGCCGGGAGACUCCAAGCACUGUUGUGGCUCCGGUCCCAGGGUGACUUUGAUGAAAGAGUUGGAAGAAACAUAUGAAAUGAGCUCCAGCGAGAAAAGGAGCUGGAUCUCGCGAUUCCUGAGUUCUUGUUCAGAUGAUGCCAAGACAUUGUUUGCGGCAGUGUCUGUUCCGCUGUUAUAUGGAUCAUUCUUGGCAGAGACAAAAUUUAUCCCUUCCAAGUCGAUGCUUCCAACAUUUGAAAUUGGAGAUCGAAUUUUGGCUGAGAAGGUCUCGUAUCUGUUUAGUGAACCUGAAGUCACAGAUAUCAUCGUCUUCAGAGCUCCUGCUAUCCUUAAGGAAUAUGGGUUUGCAUCAAAUGAUGCCUUUAUUAAAAGAGUUGUGGCCGUAGCUGGGGAUGUUGUUGAAGUUCACGGUGGCAAAUUGUUGGUGAAUGGGGUGAUCCAGGAUGAGGAAUUUAUUCUUGAGCCACUUGACUAUGAAAUGAAGCCAGUGUUUGUGCCUAAAGGUUGCGUCUUUGUGCUAGGGGAUAAUCGUAACCACAGCUUUGACUCUCAUAACUGGGGGCCUCUUCCUGUAAAGAACAUUCUUGGAAGGUCAGUGCUCCGCUACUGGCCUCCAUCAAGAAUUUCUGACACUAUCUAUGAACCGAGUGUGAUGACAAAUACGAUGGGGGUUUCUUGAUGCGCUUUUCUUUCACAAGAACCACAUAGUAACUGAAGAGGUGGCUUUUUGCAAGAGACUCAUAAUGGUUCCCUGGCAUCUAAUUCAUCAACAUUAAGACCAGGGGUCAUUUAUUCCGUCUCUAGCACUUUCAAUUUGAGGAAAUCAGAUGAAGAUUUCAGUCCACUGAUGAAUAGUGUGAACAUCCCUACUUAGUUGCAGGAUUUAGUCAUGGUCAUUCAUAAUAAAUAUAGGGUGAUUCUGCGCGAAGACCCUUUGCAAUACUUUCCUUGCCAUAGCAUGGAGAGGAUUUGUAUGCAAGAUGCAAUUGUUUCAACUGUCGCAAUUGAAUUUUAUUUCAGUGGAUGAUUAUUUGUAA